GGUGGCUCAAUGGUAGAGUGCUUGCUUUGCAUGCACGAGGCUUGGGUUCGAUUCCUCAGCACCA
rnacentral:tRNA from 1 species